rnacentral:rRNA from 1 species
GACACUAUGUGUUGUUGGGUAGGGGAGCGUUCUGUAAGCCUGUGAAGGUGUGUCGUGAGGCAUGCUGGAGGUAUCAGAAGUGCGAAUGCUGACAUAAGUAACGAUAAAGCGGGUGAAAAGCCCGCUCGCCGGAAGACCAAGGGUUCCUGUCCAACGUUAAUCGGGGCAGGGUGAGUCGACCCCUAAGGCGAGGCCGAAAGGCGUAGUCGAUGGGAAACGGGUUAAUAUUCCCGUACUUGGUGUUACUGCGAAGGGGGGACGGAGAAGGCUAUGUUGGCCGGGCGACGGUUGUCCCGGUUUAAGCGUGUAGGUGUGUGUUCCAGGUAAAUCCGGUUCACUUUAACACUGAGGCGUGACGACGAGGCACUACGGUGCUGAAGCAACAAAUGCCCUGCUUCCAGGAAAAGCCUCUAAGCAUCAGGUAACAUCAAAUCGUACCCCAAACCGACACAGGUGGUCAGGUAGAGAAUACCAAGGCGCUUGAGAGAACUCGGGUGAAGGAACUAGGCAAAAUGGUGCCGUAACUUCGGGAGAAGGCACGCUGACACGUAGGUGAAGUGAUUUACUCAUGGAGCUGAAGUCAGUCGAAGAUACCAGCUGGCUGCAACUGUUUAUUAAAAACACAGCACUGUGCAAACACGAAAGUGGACGUAUACGGUGUGACGCCUGCCCGGUGCCGGAAGGUUAAUUGAUGGGGUCAGCGCAAGCGAAGCUCCUGAUCGAAGCCCCGGUAAACGGCGGCCGUAACUAUAACGGUCCUAAGGUAGCGAAAUUCCUUGUCGGGUAAGUUCCGACCUGCACGAAUGGCGUAAUGAUGGCCAGGCUGUCUCCACCCGAGACUCAGUGAAAUUGAACUCGCUGUGAAGAUGCAGUGUACCCGCGGCAAGACGGAAAGACCCCGUGAACCUUUACUAUAGCUUGACACUGAACAUUGAGCCUUGAUGUGUAGGAUAGGUGGGAGGCUUUGAAGUGUGGACGCCAGUCUGCAUGGAGCCGACCUUGAAAUACCACCCUUUAAUGUUUGAUGUUCUAACGUGGACCCGUGAUCCGGGUUGCGGACAGUGUCUGGUGGGUAGUUUGACUGGGGCGGUCUCCUCCUAAAGAGUAACGGAGGAGCACGAAGGUUGGCUAAUCCUGGUCGGACAUCAGGAGGUUAGUGCAAUGGCAUAAGCCAGCUUGACUGCGAGCGUGACGGCGCGAGCAGGUGCGAAAGCAGGUCAUAGUGAUCCGGUGGUUCUGAAUGGAAGGGCCAUCGCUCAACGGAUAAAAGGUACUCCGGGGAUAACAGGCUGAUACCGCCCAAGAGUUCAUAUCGACGGCGGUGUUUGGCACCUCGAUGUCGGCUCAUCACAUCCUGGGGCUGAAGUAGGUCCCAAGGGUAUGGCUGUUCGCCAUUUAAAGUGGUACGCGAGCUGGGUUUAGAACGUCGUGAGACAGUUCGGUCCCUAUCUGCCGUGGGCGCUGGAGAACUGAGGGGGGCUGCUCCUAGUACGAGAGGACCGGAGUGGACGCAUCACUGGUGUUCGGGUUGUCAUGCCAAUGGCACUGCCCGGUAGCUAAAUGCGGAAGAGAUAAGUGCUGAAAGCAUCUAAGCACGAAACUUGCCCCGAGAUGAGUUCUCCCUGAGACUUAAAGUCUCCUGAAGGAACGUUGAAGACGACGA